UACGUAGGCAGCAAGCGUUGUUCGGAGUUACUGGGCGUAAAGGGUGCGUAGGCGGCCUUAUAAGUAUGGUGUGAAAUCUCCCGGCUUAACUGGGAGGGUGCGCUAUAGACUGUGGGGCUAGAGUGUGGGAGAGGAAAGUGGAAUUCCUGGUGUAGCGGUGAAAUGCGUUGAUAUCAUCAGGAACACCGGUGGCGAAAGCGGCUUACAGGGUCUCUUCUGACGCUGAGGUACGAAAGCCAGGGGAGCGAAGGGG
rnacentral:rRNA from 1 species